rnacentral:misc_RNA from 1 species
CCCUUCCAAUCCUAUCAAUAGCCAGCGCAGCCAAGUUUACCUCAGAGUGAGGUCGAGAAAAAUCAACUACUUUCAGUGAGGUUAUGAUCUCUACAAGAACUACUCCAAANACUGUAAACAUCACUUUUAUCAGAAAGGUGAAAAUAUUGAUGGUACUGAGGAUCAAGAUAGCCUGGAGUCCCUUGUGGGGCUGUUGAGAUGUGAGAUGACUCAGUCAUGCCAAGUCUAGAAAGGCCAAAAUCAGCUACCUUAGACUUAUAGUUGUAAUCCAAAAGUAUAUUGCUAGAUUUGAUGUCUCUGUGAUAAAUUGGUGGGUUCAUGGCAGAAUGAAGAUAAGCAAUAGCAUUAGCAGUUUCAGCAGCAACGGUAAGCCGUAUAGUCCACGGAAGCCCUUUGCCCCUCUCUCUUUGCAAAUGCUGACACAGGGUUCCAUUGGGCAUAAAUUCAUAUACAAGGAUCGGUUC